rnacentral:rRNA from 1 species
GACGUAGGGGGCAAGCGUUGUUCGGAAUUAUUGGGCGUAAAGCGCUCGUAGGCGGGAUUGGAAGUCCGUGUUGAAAGACCUCGGCUCAACUGAGGGACCGGCUCGGAUACUCUAAUUCUUGAGGCAAUCAGAGGAUGAUGGAAUUCCUGGUGCAGCGGUGAAAUGCGCAGAUAUCAGGAGGAACACCGGUGGCGAAGGCGGGUCUCUGGGCCGAUACUGACACUGAGGAGCGAAAGCGUGGGGAGCGAACAGG